GCCAACGUGGCAUAAUGGUUUGAGCACUGGACUACAACUCUGGAGACCAGGGUUUGAUUCCAAGCUCAGCCA